rnacentral:rRNA from 1 species
GAAUGGUCCUAGCGUUGUUCGGAAUCACUGGGCUUAAAGAGCACGUAGGCGGGAUGGUAAGUGUCUUGUGAAAUCCCUCGGCUCAACCGAGGAACUGCUCGGCAUACUGCCUUCCUUGAGGCAGGUAGGGGUGCAUGGAACUCUUGGUGGAGCGGUGAAAUGCGUAGAUAUCAAGAGGAACGCCAGUGGAGAAGUCGGUGCACUGGGCCUGUCCUGACGCUGAGGUGCGAAAGCGUGGGGAGCGAAGAGGAUUAGAUACCCUCGUAGUCCACGCCCGUAAACGAUGUCUAUAGGUUGCGGAAGUUCUGACGCUCUCGCAGCCGAAGCGAAGGUAUUAAGUAGACCGCCUGGGGAGUACGGUCGCAAGGCUA